rnacentral:rRNA from 1 species
GUGGGGAAUAUUGGACAAUGGGGGGAACCCUGAUCCAGCCAUGCCGCGUGUGUGAAGAAGGCCUUUUGGUUGUAAAGCACUUUAAGUGGGGAGGAGGCUUACCUGGUUAAUACCUGGGCUAAGUGGACGUUACCCACAGAAUAAGCACCGGCUAACUCUGUGCCAGCAGCCGCGGUAAUACAGAGGGUGCGAGCGUUAAUCGGAUUUACUGGGCGUAAAGCGCGCGUAGGUGGUUAAUUAAGUCAAAUGUGAAAUCCCCGAGCUUAACUUGGGAAUUGCAUUCGAUACUGGUUAGCUAGAGGAUGGGAGAGGAUGGUAGAAUUCCAGGUGUAGCGGUGAAAUGCGUAGAGAUCUGGAGGAAUACCGAUGGCGAAGGCAGCCAUCUGGCCUAAUACUGACACUGAGGUGCGAAAGCAUGGGGAGCAAACAGGAUUAGAAACCCCUGUAGUCC